rnacentral:lncRNA from 1 species
AGCAGAAAUAGCGUAAAUAAUUAUCUAAACAUAAGAACCAUAAAUAAAAUUACAUGCAAUAAUUGAGGUCAGACUCAUGGAUUCUACUAAACUGCUAGUCAUUUGACUUUGCUUAAUACCUAAAGAUGACUGAAAUCAUAUUUAACUCAAUCAAAUCACCAAUCAUGAGUAAAGCUUGCACACCAACGUUUACACACAGUUGUUAACUUAAUAGACACCUAUCACAAGAAUCAAGUUGCAUUAUACCCAAGCACCACUUCAUGAACAACUGAAUACCAUUUCCAAAUCAACAGUCCAUCACAGUCAAGCUCUAGAGUUCAAAUUAUCAACAAUCAGAAACUAACAGUUGAUUCAAUAUGGUCUAUUACAAGCAAAAUGGAGUAGUAAACUUAUGGAACAGAAUUUCAAGCUAAAAGCUAACAGGACAACAAACUCCAGGAUGGAUAUCAAAUGGCAAAUUGAGUUUCAUUUCAUUGAAGCAGUUACAUCAGAUUGGUCUCAGAAAUGUACCUGGAAAAUGAAUUUCAACAAAGAGGAAAGAAUCAGCAGCAGUUCAAGCAAUUCACAGAGCAAAUAUCGACAGCAAUUUAACCCAGAACUUUGGAAUGAUAGUUCAACACCCAGCAAGAAUCAGAAGGAAACUCAUUUGAAAGCCAAGCCUCAAUAGCAGCUCCCCAACAUCAAGAAUACCCCCACACAAACUCACACUAAGCUCGAGAACAGUUAAAAUCCAAAGACCCCAAAUGCCAGCAGCAGAAAUCAAUGAAACAGUGGUAAAAAGUUUGUUGUUUCUGGUUUCUGUAUCUAUUUUUUUUUUUGGAUUUUCUGUAUUUAAAUACUAAAACUAAACUGAAGUUGAAAAAUGGAAUGAAAAUCAGAUUUGUUCUGGUGAGUUCUUGAGCUGAAAGUUCUCGACCCCUUGCCAAGGCAUCAGAUGCCGUAUUUAUAGGAGCAAAAAUAGGGCAACAAUCUGAUUUGAAUACAUGAAAUGCCUAUGUGUCAAUUUUAUCUUUAACCGCUUUUAUUUAAUAUGUAUUUAUUUAAGAGAAAGUGAACGUCGUUUAAAGUGUGUUUUCGUAUUGCACCGCAUCAAAUUAACAUGCAAUCCUAGGCACACUCUAUUCAACGUUUUAGAAUUUGGUUUUGGGUCGCAUAAAAUGUCCACCGUGUGUUUUCGGAUUGUGCCGCAUCAAAUGAACCCGCAAUCUUAGGCACACUCUAUUCAACAUUUUAGGAUUUAGAUUUGGGCCGCAUAAAAUGCCCACCCGCAUUUAAGAAGGUAAAAUAAUUAAAUUACGCGCCUAAAGCAACUACGCGUUUGCAAUUUGCAAGGGCCAUGGAAUUUGCUAAAUGGCACGUCUCGGAUUAUAAGGGUUAAAUCAAACUUAAUUAAAGUGAGGGCCAUGCAAUUGAGAUUUUUUUCGGUACGGCACACCUCGAAUAGAAAAAGACUUUCAACUACACUUGGAUGACCAUAAACUAUUUAUGUCAGUAAUAUGGCUCACCUCAAUCUAUCCUCAAUCAAUUUCUCCCUUCUUCAACCUUCCCCUCUUUACUCAACUUUGUGACAAUAAUACAAUUCUAUUAACAACGAGUAAAGAAUUAACAGUAACUACAUGUGAACCAAAUCGUGUAAGUUUUGAGCAUGAAGUAAUACAGUUCAACAUCUUUAUCAACUAAAUUAGAAUCAGAAAAAGCUUUAAUUACAACAUCCAAAGCCUCGAGUGCGAGCAACUUGUCUUCACAAGUUGUCAAGUUGGAUAACAAAAUUUCAAUUCCAUGAUAGAAUCUAGACUUAACCAAGAGUUUCACAAGAGAAGAAUGUCAAUAUACUGAAUCAAACGAAUAUAAACAAUCAAUAUCAUUCUGAAAAGAGUCAUGAAACCAGUCCACCUUGUUGCUUUCGUUGUAAAAACUUUGGUACAAAUCAAUACCAUUUCUCAUUUACCACUAAAGAGAAUAAAGAACAUGGGCAGAAGAAUCAGCAAAUUAACGUGUUUGUCUCUUUUGCAUCUAAAAAACACGUAUUGAUUGGAUAUAACUAAGUGCUAAUGAUUAUGUAAAGAAACAUAUUAUGCAGCGAUAAAUGUAAGAGCUACUUGAGAUUCAACGAAAGCAUAGAUAGAGAUUCAAACAAUUCGUAUUUCUUCAAUUUUCGAGAGAUUCUGCCGGAAAAAUUCAACCCGCACACAAUCGGACGACAUUUUAUACCCUUCCGGAGAAAUUCAAAACAGAGAUGAACACAAAGUAAGCUUCCAUGAAAUUUAAUUUUUACGGAAUCAACCACAUAAGAAUAACACCUGAAACAGAGGGAAAAGAAAGGAUAAACUUCGAUUAAUCUGAAAUUUAAUUGACUUACAAUCUGAAACGGAACCUCGAACCGAAAAUGAUCGCAACGGAACAGAAACUCGACGACCUCGAAGCUCGCUGGAAGUUGACAAACCUUGGAUGGAAAACCAACCGGAUUCUGCCGGAAUUUGAAUGGGACAGUGAUGGAACGAACCAGGCGACUAGAUUCUCGGUCGAAUCUACUUCGCAGUUACUAUCCAAUCGAUUUUGGGAUUAGGAAAUUGAUGAUUGGCCGAUUUUGGUCCAUCCUCCCUUUCAACAAUGGCUACCUCCCUUUAUUUCCAUAUCUGUUCGUUUUCUUUGGUCGAUGAAGAAGAUGGGGCGAGUCUGAAAUUUUCAUUUUGCGGCUCUCCUUUCAGAAUUUUUUUUUUUAGGCCUUCUUUUUUGGUGUCCC